rnacentral:rRNA from 1 species
GAUGAACGCUGGCGGCGUGCCUAAUACAUGCAAGUCGAGCGAACAGACGAGGAGCUUGCUCCUCUGACGUUAGCGGCGGACGGGUGAGUAACACGUGGAUAACCUACCUAUAAGACUGGGAUAACUUCGGGAAACCGGAGCUAAUACCGGAUAAUAUAUUGAACCGCAUGGUUCAAUAGUGAAAGACGGUUUUGCUGUCACUUAUAGAUGGAUCCGCGCCGCAUUAGCUAGUUGGUAAGGUAACGGCUUACCAAGGCAACGAUGCGUAGCCGACCUGAGAGGGUGAUCGGCCACACUGGAACUGAGACACGGUCCAGACUCCUACGGGAGGCAGCAGUAGGGAAUCUUCCGCAAUGGGCGGAAGCCUGACGGAGCAACGCCGCGUGAGUGAUGAAGGUCUUCGGAUCGUAAAACUCUGUUAUUAGGGAAGAACAACUGUGUAAGUAACUAUGCACGUCUUGACGGUACCUAAUCAGAAAGCCACGGCUAACUACGUG